rnacentral:rRNA from 1 species
GACGAACGCUGGCGGCGUGCUUAACACAUGCAAGUCGAACGGAAAGGCCCUGCUUUUGUGGGGUGCUCGAGUGGCGAACGGGUGAGUAACACGUGAGUAACCUGCCCUUGACUUUGGGAUAACUUCAGGAAACUGGGGCUAAUACCGGAUAGGAGCUCCUGCUGCAUGGUGGGGGUUGGAAAGUUUCGGCGGUUGGGGAUGGACUCGCGGCUUAUCAGCUUGUUGGUGGGGUAGUGGCUUACCAAGGCUUUGACGGGUAGCCGGCCUGAGAGGGUGACCGGCCACAUUGGGCCUGAGGUACGGACCAGAAUCGUACGGGAGGCAGCAGUGGGGAAUAUUGCACAAUGGGCGGAAGCCUGAUGCAGCAACGCCGCGUGCGGGAUAACGGCUUUCGGGUUGUAAACCGCUUUCGCCUGUGACGAAGCGUGAGUGACGGUAAUGGGUAAAGAAGCACCGGCUAACUACGUG